rnacentral:rRNA from 1 species
ACACAUGCAAGUCGAACGAUGAUCCCAGCUUGCUGGGGGAUUAGUGGCGAACGGGUGAGUAACACGUGAGUAACCUGCCCUUAACUCUGGGAUAAGCCUGGGAAACUGGGUCUAAUACCGGAUAUGACUCCUCAUCGCAUGGUGGGGGGUGGAAAGCUUUAUUGUGGUUUUGGAUGGACUCGCGGCCUAUCAGCUUGUUGGUGAGGUAAUGGCUCACCAAGGCGACGACGGGUAGCCGGCCUGAGAGGGUGACCGGCCACACUGGGACUGAGACACGGCCCAGACUCCUACGGGAGGCAGCAGUGGGGAAUAUUGCACAAUGGGCGAAAGCCUGAUGCAGCGACGCCGCGUGAGGGAUGACGGCCUUCGGGUUGUAAACCUCUUUCAGUAGGGAAGAAGCGAAAGUGACGGUACCUGCAGAAGAAGCGCCGGCUAACUACGUGCCAGCAGCCGCGGUAAUACGUAGGGCGCAAGCGUUAUCCGGAAUUAUUGGGCGUAAAGAGCUCGUAGGCGGUUUGUCGCGUCUGCCGUGAAAGUCCGGGGCUCAACUCCGGAUCUGCGGUGGGUACGGGCAGACUAGAGUGAUGUAGGGGAGACUGGAAUUCCUGGUGUAGCGGUGAAAUGCGCAGAUAUCAGGAGGAACACCGAUGGCGAAGGCAGGUCUCUGGGCAUUAACUGACGCUGAGGAGCGAAAGCAUGGGGAGCGAACAGGAUUAGAUACCCUGGUAGUCCAUGCCGUAAACGUUGGGCACUAGGUGU